CCAACCCCUCUCUCUUAUCUUCUGCGCUGCGUCCCGUUGUCUAUCUAUGCAGAGACGCUCCACCGCCAUGAAUGGAUCACCCACAGCCCCCACCCCCCCCCCCGAGCUGCUGGACCAUGACUCUGCAGCAGAAACCAUCUCCCGACGCUACUGUCUUGAUUCCCAAGCAACCACUUGCUCUCCUCCUCAGAUGGCUGGGGCUGUGGUGCCCCAGCUCUGCAUGAACAGGUGCUCAACUCCACACAAGGCAAGACUCUGGGUACAGUGAAUGGAGGCUGUGCCAAGUGAAUAUUACUUGGCCAGUUUUGACCUUGCAUUGUUUCCAGGCACCUGGAAAAAUAAUCUGUGAAAGGCAUGAGAAAAAAAAAAAUCUGCAUUUGCGUGUCUGGGCAUAAAUGACCGUUGGGGACAAAACAAGACCAUGCUGGGAAACACUGGAACAGACUUUGUUAAGCGAUGAAUGAAAAAAAAAAUAAACAGAAAGAGGGACAAAACAAGUUUGUGCAACCUACUUCCAUGUAGGAAAUGGCUUUAUUGUUGUUUAUUUUUUAACACCUCGUUUUGUUUUCCAUCUUGAAUUUCUGUAGGGUUCACUUUGAGGAGCCAUUUCCAAGGCAUGCUAUAACAGUCCUGUGUGGUAUCUGAUUCUAAUAUAACGCACUUAACAGCCAGAUGCAUCUCAAAAAUGUGUAUGUUCAAUAUUCUGUGUAUUCUCUAAAAACUAUUAACUGUGAACAUCUGAUAGGACAUGAAUUUACUGAUAAUUAACACCUAUUUUGACAUUUCCUGGUGUAAAGCCUACAUACAUGUACCCUCUCCCUGACAGUAUUUAAUAUUUGGCUAGAAGUUUGGCUGGUUUCAGCUGACCUCAACCAUAUCCUUUUGCAUGCAGUGCACUGUACUGAAGUUUAACGGGUCUACAUGAACAUUGGACAGUUAGUCUCUGUCAGCUGCAGUAUGACACGUAUGCAGGCUUCACAGCAAGUACCUUCAGUGAUCCUCACCACUGCUCAUAUUGCAUAUGUUUGGCUCUUUCGCUUUAAAGGAUUUUAGGUUGUGUCCAGUAUGGUUUUGCCCAGAGGUGGAGCACAGAACAUUUGUACCCACAGCAAUGUUUUGUGUUGGCUCUACUUUAAAGCAAGUCCUCUUGACAACUGUGGACAUUAUCAUUAUAGGCCACAGGUAUACAUUAGCAUAGAGUGCUUUCUUUACUGUGGGCUGACUUUCUUUACUGCACAUGUUCAAUAAUGUAACAACUGCAUAAUUCUAGCACAGACAAAAUGUCAUAAAAAAGGAGGUUGGAGAUUCCUUCUCAUUUUUUUUCUUCAUAUUGCCAUUUCCUAAAUCCUAGAGAAGGUGAAAUAGUGUAAAAAUGACGAUCAUUCAUUUAUUUUUUUCCUAUUUAACAUUGUAAAUCGUGUGAUAGUACAUUUAAUACAUUCAAAUCUUGUUUUAAAAUACCUAAUCUUUUAAUAAAUUGGGGACAGGAAAUUCUCAAAGCUAUUUAUUUUUCGUAUAGCCUAUGUACAUGUACAGAAAGAUAAACAUGUGAGAUGUCCAUUCAGAAAUUUGAGAAAUAAAAAGGAUUGGAGCUUUA